rnacentral:rRNA from 1 species
UACAGAGGGUGCAAGCGUUAUUCGGAAUUACUGGGCGUAAAGCGCAUGUAGGCGGUUUGGUAAGUCCGGUGUGAAAUCCCUCGACUCAAUCGGGGAAGUGCACUGGAUACUGCCAGACUGGAGUAUGGGAGAGGUGAGUGGAAUUCCAGGUGUAGAGGUGAAAUUCGUAGAUAUCUGGAGGAACAACAGAGGCGAAGGCGGCUCACUGGACCAUAACUGACGCUGAGAUGCGAAAGCGUGGGGAGCAAACAGG